GCAUUUACGUCCUGGAUGAUGUUGGAAGGAUGUCCAAGAAAAAGCUUCUAAGCUUUGAAGCACACGUGACCGUACUAAAACUGACACAGGUAGGCGAGAUGAGUAGUCUCAGGCGCUCGGGAGAACGGUGGUUAAGGAACUCUGCAAAAUGGCUCCGUAAGUUCGCGAUAAGGGGCGCCUACGUAAGUAGGCCACAGAAAAUCGGCACUAGCGACUGUUUAUCAAAAACACAGGUCUCUGCCAACUCGUAAGAGGACGUAUAGAGACUGACGCCUGCCCGGUGCUGGUAGGUUAAGGAAGGCGGUUAGCAUCUUCGGAUGCGAAGCUGGCGACCGAAGCCCCAGUAAACGGCGGCCCUAACUAUGAGGGUCCUAAGGUAGCGAAGUUCCUUGUCGGGUAAGUUCCGACCUGCAUGAAAGGCGUAACGACUG
rnacentral:rRNA from 1 species